rnacentral:rRNA from 1 species
UACAGAGGGUGCAAGCGUUGUUCGGAAUUAUUGGGCGUAAAGGGCGCGUAGGCGGUGCGGUAAGUCUGUAGUGAAAGCCCUGGGCUCAACCUGGGGAGGGUCACCGGUAACGGCCGAGCUACGAGUGCAGGAGAGGGAAGUGGAACGUCCGGGAGUAGCGGUGAAAUGCGUAGAGACCCGGAGGAACACCAGUGGCGAAGGCGGCUUCCUGGUCUGCAACUGACGCUGUGGCGCGAAAGCUAGGGAGCAA